UACGGAGGGUGCGAGCGUUGUCCGGAAUCACUGGGCGUAAAGGGCGCGUAGGUGGCGCGGCAAGUCAACGGUGAAAGCUCGACGCUCAACGUCGAGUCGGCCGUCGAUACUGCCGCGCUGGAGCACUGUAGAGGCUCAUGGAAUUCCGGGUGUAGCGGUGGAAUGCGUAGAGAUCCGGAAGAACACCGGUGGCGAAGGCGGUGAGCUGGGCAGUUGCUGACACUGAGGCGCGACGAGCGUGGGAGCAAACAGGG
rnacentral:rRNA from 1 species